UGUCACUUUUAGGAACAUUUCGUGGAGUUGGUAUCACCGAAGGAGUUGUCUCAGCCGGCCUUCUGUGUAAACUGUAAGAAAGAUGUCGAGUUUUCUCCGCGGCCUCACGUUGUGAUUCAGAAAGAAAAUGUUGUACUGGGUGGAAACGUGAGAAUGGCUGGAGGCGUUCUUUGUACUACGUGUGCUGCUGAUACAAUACCACAUUUAGGAUGUCUAGUUUCUGUAAACAAAGAAAGUUGAGUGUUUCAUUUCCAAGGGCAGAAUGUUAAUUGGAAUGAUGUAUGAAAGAGCAUAUAGAUUAGAUGUAUCAAAUUUUGUACUUAUUUUAAGAUAGUUAUAAUGAUAUUAAUACAUAUGAUAAUAACGGUAAUAAUAAGCAAUUAGUGGUGAGUUUAAGCAUGAUAUCAUAAGUUAUCAAAACCGACGCUGAGGCUGAUAACACAGAUGCGAGGUUUGAUAAUUCAUGAUAUCGAGCGAAAACCGAAUUCUAUAAUUGUUUUAUUACACAUUUUGUCAACAAUCUGCAAAAGAAGACACUUUCCCUGAGUUUGAAAAAGUUUGGGAACACUACACGGACGAGGGACUUGUAAAAUAAGGGAGACUUUGAACUCGACAUGAUAAAUGCCUUAGCCUCAGCAGAUAUUGCAUUUAUCAUGUCAUCUUCACACGCUAUUGUUAUUCAGAUUUUCAUAGUAACUCUAAUGUAUGGUAAUACCAUUACUUUUUCUUUCUGUUUUAUUUAAUCAUGUCAUCUCCACACGCUAUUUAUCUUAAUGGAAUGCUCGUGCUAAUUCAUAUUUUUCAUAGUAAAUCUAUUAUAUAGUAAUAAAUAUCAUUUUUUCUA